UCUCCCUGGGAAAAAGGGUGGUAAUGCCGGAUGCUCCAGUUGAUCGCAUGGUCUUCUGGGAAAGCUUUCGCGGUAUGGGAUGGGGUCGCGUCCUAUCAGCUUGACGGCGGGGUAACGGCCCACCGUGGCUUCGACGGGUAGCCGGCCUGAGAGGGCGACCGGCCACAUUGGGACUGAGAUACGGCCCAGACUCCUACGGGAGGCAGCAGUGGGGAAUAUUGCACAAUGGGCGCAAGCCUGAUGCAGCGACGCCGCGUGAGGGAUGGAGGCCUUCGGGUUGUAAACCUCUUUUAUCGGGGAGCAAGCGAGAGUGAGUUUACCCGUUGAAUAAGCACCGGCUAACUACGUGCCAGCAGCCGCGGUAAUACGUAGGGUGCAAGCGUUAUCCGGAAUUAUUGGGCGUAAAGGGCUCGUAGGCGGUUCGUCGCGUCCGGUGUGAAAGUCCAUCGCUUAACGGUGGAUCCGCGCCGGGUACGGGCGGGCUUGAGUGCGGUAGGGGAGACUGGAAUUCCCGGUGUAACGGUGGAAUGUGUAGAUAUCGAAAAAAAACACC
rnacentral:rRNA from 1 species